ACUAUUUUGGCAGAUAAUAUGCAUUAAAUUUAGGAUUUAAUUAUAUAGUAGAUCUAUAAAUAGUAAAAUAAUUUAGUAGCUAAUUAUUUU
rnacentral:tRNA from 1 species